AGAAAUCUACUGGAGAGGAUCUGG
rnacentral:miRNA from 1 species